rnacentral:rRNA from 1 species
GAUGAACGCUGGCGGCGUGCCUAAUACAUGCAAGUCGAGCGAACAGACGAGGAGCUUGCUCCUCUGACGUUAGCGGCGGACGGGUGAGUAGCACGUGGAUAACCUACCUAUAAGACUGGGAUAACUUCGGGAAACCGGAGCUAAUACCGGAUAAUAUAUUGAACCGCAUGGUUCAAUAGUGAAAGACGGUUUUGCUGUCACUUAUAGAUGGAUCCGCGCCGCAUUAGCUAGUUGGUAAGGUAACGGCUUACCAAGGCAACGAUGCGUAGCCGACCUGAGAGGGGAGACGGCCCACCGGGAAAUAGACACGCGUCCAGCCCCCAGAGGGGGGAGGGAGGAGGGAUAUCUUCAGAAUGGGGGAAAGCCGGGAGGGGCCACCGCGGGGGAGGAGUGAAGGGUGUUGGGAUGUAAAACUUUUUUUAUGGGGGAGAAAAAAUUUUGAAAGUACUUAUGCAGUUCUGGAGGGCACCUAACAAGAAGCCCACGCAAAGCUAGGGC